rnacentral:rRNA from 1 species
AUUGAACGCUGGCGGCAGGCUUAACACAUGCAAGUCGAGCGGAGACUUCGGUCUUAGCGGCGAACGGGUGAGUAAUACCUAGGAAUCUGCCUAUUAGUGGGGGAUAACGGCUCGAAAGGGUCGCUAAUACCGCAUACGUCCUACGGGAGAAAGUGGGGGAUCUUCGGACCUCACGCUAAUAGAUGAGCCUAGGCCGGAUUAGCUAGUUGGUAGGGUAAAGGCCUACCAAGGCGACGAUCCGUAGCUGGUCUGAGAGGAUGAUCAGCCACACUGGAACUGAGACACGGUCCAGACUCCUACGGGAGGCAGCAGUAAGGAAUUUUCCACAAUGGGCGAAAGCCUGAUGGAGCAACGCCGCGUGCAGGAUGAAGGCCCUAGGGUUGUAAACUGCUUUUAUAUGUGACGAAUAUGACGGUAGCAUAUGAAUAAGGAUCGGCUAACUCCGUGCCAGCAGCCGCGGUAAUGUACAGUGU